rnacentral:rRNA from 1 species
UACAGAGGGGGCAAGCGUUGUUCGGAAUUACUGGGCGUAAAGGGCGCGUAGGCGGCCUUCUAAGUCGAACGUGAAAUCCCUGGGCUCAACCCAGGAACUGCGUCCGAUACUGGAAGGCUUGAAUCCGGGAGAGGGAUGCGGAAUUCCAGGUGUAGCGGUGAAAUGCGUAGAUAUCUGGAGGAACACCGGUGGCGAAGGCGGCAUCCUGGACCGGUAUUGACGCUGAGGCGCGAAAGCCAUGGGAGCAAACGGG